rnacentral:rRNA from 1 species
AUACGGAGGAUGCAAGCGUUAUCCGGAUUUAUUGGGUUUAAAGGGAGCGUAGGCGGGCAGUCAAGCAGGGGGUGAAAUGCCGGCGCUCAACGCCGGAGCUGCCUUCUGAACUGGCUGUCUGGAGUGGCAGUGCCGUUGGAGGAAUGAGUGGUGUAGCGGUGAAAUCCUUAGAUAUAGCUCAGAACACCGAUUGCGAAGGCCUCUGACGAAAUGUGCAAUGACGCUGAAGCACGAAAGCAUGGGGAGCAAACCAGAUUCAAUACCCUGGUCGCGCAAAGGCCAAAAGAUGAUGCCUAAGUGCCAGCCAGUUGCGGGCCGGUGGCCAAGCGAAAGCAAUAAGUCAUCCCCCUGGGGAGUACGACCGCAAGGUUGAAACUCAAAUGAAUGGACUGGG